rnacentral:rRNA from 1 species
GACGUAGGGCGCGAGCGUUGUCCGGAAUUAUUGGGCGUAAAGAGCUCGUAGGCGGUGUGUCGCGUCGGCCGUGAAAACCUGCAGCUUAACUGUGGGCUUGCGGUCGAUACGGGCAUCACUGGAGUUCGGCAGGGGAGACUGGAAUUCCUGGUGUAGCGGUGAAAUGCGCAGAUAUCAGGAGGAACACCGGUGGCGAAGGCGGGUCUCUGGGCCGAUACUGGCGCUGAGGAGCGAAAGCGUGGGGAGCGAACAGG